rnacentral:lncRNA from 1 species
CACUGUAUUUAAUUCAUGCAUGAUGUGGAAAGCUUUUAGUUGGACACAUGAUCAAAUGAAAUGAAACUCUAAUUCUCAAUGGGAGGCGUCAAAGAGUUUCAUAUGUUGGAAACUAACUUUUUGAACCAAGUUUCAUCAAGAUGAAUCUCUCUCUCCCUCCCUCCCUCCCUCCCUCUCCCUCACCCUAUAACUCCUAUGCCAUGUGACCAUAUUUGCCUAUAUGGCAUCUUAUUUAUGAAGAAUUAGACUUCCACUUCGAAUGGCCUUACAAUCACUAAUUAAUUAACAUAGGUAACCUAACUUAGCAUCACCCAUCACUUUUUUCCCAUGAUGCACUAGUCCUUAUUUACUAAUAUCACCGUCAAUAGCUUCUUCUCGUCUCUCACCAUGCCACCAGCCUUCUCCUCCUUCUCGACGCCCAUGCCAUCCUCCUAUCCUUGAUGACAUUAGCCUCCUUCCCCUCCCCUCAUACGUGUUGUUAUCCUCUCUUGACCCUGCAAGCAACCUCCUAUCUUUUGCACUACAGCAGCCUAUUCCCUGUCCCUACUUCACCUACCAUGUCCUCCUCGUUGUCGCCGCACUACCGAUCUCCUCCUCCUCCACACCCCUCUCCCGGUGCCUCCUCCUCCUUGAAGAUCCCACCACCAUGAUGCAAUGAUGGCAUAAGGCUUAUGUCACUUACUUUUCG